AGUAAGGUAAGUUUGAUUUAAUUCAUUUGUCUGCAUCGCGCUGAUCGGUUGCCUAUUUGUUCAUAUUAUGUUAUUAACUAUGAUUCGUUUUUGUCUUUAUACUAGAACUGUUUGAAUUUAAACCACAAACAGUAAAACAUUAAGGUUAUACGUGGUACACAGCGGUAAACAUGAGGUUAAAAAUACGCGAAGUAACAUUCAAACCGGGCUGUUAAAAGAAUCAAUUCGAUGUUUAAAUUUUUAAAAACAAAACUUUAAAGAAGCCAAGAUGAGACGUUAUUUGCUUAAAACAAACAAAACAACAGUAACUCGUGUGUUUGAAAUGUUAGCAGCUAGCAAGUGUCUCUCUGCUAUUUUAAAUGGUACUGACGAUCUUUUGUUGUUUUAAAAGCUCAUUCAGUUCUGGUAGAUGCUGCUUAUUUUUCAAGACUGUUUUAAUAGCUUUAUAUUGAUUUGUAACAAAGCCAGCUUCACUUUAAGAGAACCUAGAUGCUAAUUGUAAAGAAGCUUGGAGUCAUAAUAUAUUUAAACGUUAUAUGUUUGCUGUUCUUCAUCUUUUUAAAUAUGAAGUCUAUACAUGUUUGUGUUUACAGAGGUCAUGUACACUGUGGUCAACUUUGUGGACGAUGAAGAGGUUUCUGGGUAAAGCUGAUAGAAAUAUAAUGAAGUAACAGUAAAAGCUAAAACAUCAGACUGAUCCAGACACUGAAGAAAUUGAUGUCACUGCAAUCUGGCCAAAAUGAUACAACUAUAUUGAAGUAGCCUACUGUAAUGAAGCUGCAGAACAACACAUAGACUCUGAGGACAUAAACACAGAAAAUGAAGGCUCCAAAGAGAUGUCUGUCCAGAUGAGGGUGCAUCAACGUUACAUUUGCUGACAAGUAUUUGCUUUACAAUGUAAAACCUAACAGUUAACUUAACUCGAACCAUUUAAGGAAAUCGGUUGCCUUAACCCAUUAAGUUUAAAAAAAAAACAUACAUUUGAGUACUGUGAACUUAAGUCUUGUGCAAUAAUGCACUUAUAUUUAGUUAGUGUGAACUUAAAUAUAAGUGCAUAACUGCAUGUGACUCAAUUUGUUUAAGUUCACAGUACUCAAAUCUAUGUGUUUUAAAACUUAAAUGGUUUAAUGCAACCGGUUUUCUUAAAUGGUUUGAGUUUAGUUAACUUUUAGGUUUUACAGUGAGAAAUUCUUGAAUAAUUCCAAGACAGAGCUCUGCAAUUGUAUCUACACUGCAAAAAAUCAGUUUCUAACUUAGGAUUUUUAUCUUGUUUUUAGUAGAAAAACUAAAAAUUCUUAAAUCAAGAUGUAUUUUCUUGAUGAGCAAAAUUACCUAAGAAAAUGUCUAGUUUUUAGACAAAAAUAUACAAUUUAAGUAAAUUUGUGCCUAAACAAGCAAAAAUAUCUAACAAUGGGGUGAGAAAAUUGUGCUUGAAUUAAGUUUUUAAGAAAAAAGAAAACUUAAGAUUUUUUCAGAUAUUUUAGCUUGUUUUAAGCACAAAUUCACUUAAAUUGUGUGCAUUUAUUUAUUUUGUCUAAAACUAGACUUAUUUUCUUAGGUAAUUUUGUUCAUCAAGAAAAAGCAUUUUAUUUAAAUAAUAUUUCUACUGAAAACGAGACAAAAAUACUAUGUAAGAAAGUCAUUAUUUUGCAGUGUAGGACUGAUUUCUUGAACAACUAUAUUGAUCUUGCUUUAUUUUAUUUAGAUAUUUACUACAUUACAGUGGCAGCUGGUGACUCCUUUUUUUGUGAGCACUCGAUGCAAAGUUUGUCACAACAUGUAUAUAGCCAGUCAUUUGUGUGGUUCAAAAUAUGUGUUCUGCGUGUAUGUGCAUCACGUGUUUUGACUAAACCCGUGAUGCACAUGGUUUACAUGAAGCAACAAACAUAUUUUAAAAACACAAGCAACACACAUGACACUCCGAACACUUAUUUUGAAUUUGCACCCCUCGGAUGAGCAGUCACGAGCCGCCACUGCUACAUUACAUUGUACUGCUUUGAAUGUAAUUUUUAUUGUUGCUUUUAUUUUGUUUUAUUUUACUCUAAUAUUGCUUUCUCUGUCUGUAUAUUUAUGAGUUUAAAUAGUAUUGUUUAUGUAUGCAACUUUUAAUAUUUGUGUAUAAUAUUAUUUUGUUAUUGUGACAAUUGUGAAUUGUUCAGUUUUUUAUUAAAUAAACAUUUCAAACUCAAUUCAAGUUUUUUAUUUUACAUAAGGGUUUUGGGGUGUAUAUAAAUAUGAAUAUAUAUAUAUAUAUAUAUAUAUAUAUAUAUAUAUAUAGUGGGGGGGUUUGUAGUCUAUCUGCAUAGCAGGCAAAUAACCAAUCAAGUCACUAAGCUAUGAGGGCUUGGGUUGGGCUUAAUACAAAGUGUAACCAAUCAAAUGAUCUCAACUGGAAAGUUUCAAAGUUGUGUCCCAAUAGUUGUCAGAGUUUUGGGAGGGGGUUUUAAAAGCAACCAAUCAGUGUUGAGAUUAAACACCAAUGGAGACACUAGAAUUGUGCAAAGGUGUGAAAUCCCAGUACCUCUGCAGGUGUGAAAAUGUCCCCUGACAAAAUCUUCAAUGGGAUUAUUUGCCAUGGCAACAAAUGGCUGCAUGUACCACAGGAAUAUCCCAUCAGCAAGAUACAUCCGAAUUGGUAUCAUUACGGGAGUUUCCUAACUUGGUGGAAUUAGAAGUUUACCCUCAGUGGAACUAGUAGAUACAUCCGAAAAUCAGUGGUGUUUACAGGAGUUUCCUAGUACGGAUACACCUCUUUUC